UUGCGGCCAAUUAAGUCAACGGUGCAUUUUCCCCAUGGCUGGGGGCGGGGGUGCUGUGUGCUGUCUGCCUUCUGGGUAGGGCAUGCAGCCUGCGGCCUGUUCAGGUUGCUCUAAGGGACCUGGGACGUUC